UGACAGAUUGAGAGCUCUUUCUUGAUUCGGUGGGUGGUGGUGCAUGGCCGUUCUUAGUUGGUGGAGCGAUUUGUCUGGUUAAUUCCGAUAACGAACGAGACUCUAGCCUGCUAAAUAGGUGGCGGAUUUAAAUUUUUAAACUUGGGUUCGGAGUUCGUCGGGAUCAGGGCCGGCGUUGUCUCGUCCCGGCUGAGCUCGUUUCGCGCUGUGGCGUAGGGGAAAGUUGGAGGCGGUUUCGGCCGUCUUUUGGCAAUUUUCUGCGUUGCUGUGUGUGGCGGGUGAGGUCGAAGGCGUGGAUGGCGUUGGUUCCCCGGCGGUCGGCUUCGUUCUCGCGUCCGUCACAAUUCUUCUUAGAGGGACAAGCGGCGUCCAGCCGCGUGACAGUGAGCAAUAACAGGUCUGUGAUGCCCUUAGAUGUCCUGGGCCGCACGCGCGCUACACUGAAGGAAUCAGCGUGUUUCUUUCUCCCUGUCUGAAAAGACCGGGUAACCGCUGAAACUCCUUCGUGGUUGG
rnacentral:rRNA from 1 species